CCUACGGGAGGCAGCAGUGGGGAAUAUUGGACAAUGGGGGGAACCCUGAUCCAGCGACGCCGCGUGAGUGAAGAAGUAUUUCGGUAUGUAAAGCUCUUUCUGCCGGGAAGAAAAUGACGGUACCUGACUAAGCAGCCCCGGCUAACUACGAGCCAGCAGCCGCGUUAAUCCGUGGGGGGCCCGCGUUCUCCGGCUGUACGGGGUGUAAAGGGAGCGUAGGCGGUAGAGAAAGUCUGAUGUGAAAGGGCGGGGGCCAAACCCGGGAUUGCUGUGGAAAAUGGUGAACUGGAGUAGAGGAGAGGUAAGCGGAAUUCCUAGUGUAGCGGUGAAAUGCGUAGAUAUUACGAGGAACACCAGUGGCGAAGGCGGCAUUCUGGACUGUAACUGACGUUGAGGCUCGAAAGCGUGGGGAGCAAACAGGAUUAGAUACCCUAGUAGUC
rnacentral:rRNA from 1 species